rnacentral:rRNA from 1 species
UGGGGAAUAUUGCACAAUGGGCGCAAGCCUGAUGCAGCCAUGCCGCGUGUGUGAAGAAGGCCUUCGGGUUGUAAAGCACUUUCAGCGGGGAGGAAGGCGAUAAGGUUAAUAACCUUGUCGAUUGACGUUACCCGCAGAAGAAGCACCGGCUAACUCCGUGCCAGCAGCCGCGGUAAUACGGAGGGUGCAAGCGUUAAUCGGAAUUACUGGGCGUAAAGCGCACGCAGGCGGUUUGUUAAGUCAGAUGUGAAAUCCCCGGGCUCAACCUGGGAAAUGCAUCUGAUACUGGCAAGCUUGAGUGUCGUAGAGGGGGGUAGAAUUCCAGGUGUAGCGGUGAAAUGCGUAGAGAUCUGGAGGAAUACCGGUGGCGAAGGCGGCCCCCUGGACGAAGACUGACGCUCAGGUGCGAAAGCGUGGGGAGCAAACAGG